UCUAGCCAACCGGUUGAGCCCCGUGCAUUUGGUGCCCUUUGUUUUAUUUUUAUAGUCGCCGCUUAUCCCGGCUAUUCGUGAAGCUGUGUGUCUGUGUGUCACCCGCUUUCUUCUUGCUGCCCACGUAACAGACCCACCACCGCCACACAGCUGCUCUAUCCUUCCGACCUGCACGAUCAUGGGUCUCUAUCAAGCGAGGUGCCCAAUGACAGCACUCCUCUCCCGUGAAGUGGCACAGCACUGGCGGCGGCCGCUGCUCCCAUUUGCCACUGCGCCAGUCGGACCUCUCCCGUGGCUUCGCCCAGCCUUGCCGCUGUUUAUCUAGGAGGAAGCAGAUGAUAGGAGGCAGCACCUCCUGCAUCAACAAGGCUACAACAGGCAGUGCAGCCAUGGGAGCAAGCAAACCUUUUGUUUCUCAUGGGCUGCUGGCGCCGACGACUCCACAACACCCAGCCAUACGAGCUUUGCGGGGGUUCCAGGACCACGGGCACGUAGAUCACGGUCUCGGUGACGAGCCUGGGGGCCACCGGCACGGGUAUUCUGGCGUCUAGGUGAUCUAUUCACCCUCCUACCCUUCCUCAAUCAUCUCGAUCUGGCCAUCUCUCUUUCAUCUUCUUUUAGUACAGAUACUUAUGAAAUCACCUGAAGAGGGGACGAGGGCGCGUCGGCAGAUGACCGGUUCCCCACGGUUGACCUGCAAUUCUGCCCUGGGGAGCAACACCACAGCCGGUGCGUCAACCAUGAGCCUCCUGCGACCGCGCUCACCUCUACUGGCCGACAAGGGCUUCGGCAAAGCGCCUUACACCAUCAUCCCAUGGAGUCGCUCCUAUCUCCGUGAUUUGCUUGCAACACCCUCGCUUUUGGCCGAGCCACUGUGAUCCAGCUCCAUUCACACAUCAGCGAGACGUCCGAUAGUCGUGGCCGGGUGGCUCAGUCUUCGCCACAUCUAUAUACGCAUGGAGAAGUUUAUUUGCAGCACAUAAGAAAAAAUCAUGGACAAAGGCAAUAACUUGAACUCCAAGAGCUGUGACCGUAUAUCACUGUCGUUCUUACUCCACCGAGUUUAGCAAACAAAGCUAUCCAAUUACGUCAUGCAUGAUCAUAAUUUAUAAAUAGCUUCCACUCUGCUUGAGGUUCUGGUUGAGUAAGAACGAAGUUGAGGAAUGAGGACAGCCAAAGGGAUGUAGGCGAGGUCAUUCAUGGAAGAAAAAGAAGACAAGGAAUAUCCAAUCGGAGUCGGUUACAAAAUCGACCCGCAGUUGCAAGAUCAAGAUUAAGAAGUGUCCUUUUCCUUGCUAGAUAAAGGUUUGGCUCUGUAUUUUAAGAAGUAAACUUCACACAAACCAAAGGCGAGUGCUGGUGCAAACGAGACCAUCUUACACGCAGAAUCGACUCCAUUAAGUGUCCAAGCGUCAUCACUUUUUUGAUAUCGCGAAAGACUGUUUAAUCACGAUUUUGUACAGGUGCUGCUUACCACUUAUCUCUAAAGAGUAUAGUUUUGUAGAGGAUAACUAAUUUUGUUGAGGGCUGAGAGCAUAUAAUGAGUACAGACUGUCCGCAACCAUAAACUGUCCACGACUAUAAAAGAAGAACAUUGGGUCCAAACUAUACUCCUGACAUGAGUACACACUAGUAUGACCUACCAGACUACGCCAUGAUAUUGUUCACCCGGAAUCGUAAUUAAGAGGUUGGAAGAUUACCACAGUCCUCUUACAGCAAUCCAUAUUAUCCGACGGGCGUGGCAUGCCGCCGCGCCAAAGCUUCCUAGUAUGGUGUUAAGGAAAGAACUGUGUGUACUAGCACUACCCUAUAAUGCUUGGAAAUACUUUAGAAAGGUGCUAUGUAAAGGAAACUGCAUUGCAUGUAAGAAUUGUUGAGUCAACUUGUACCCUGUGAGGGCGAGACAAUGAACACUGGCCCUGAAACUGUUAACAGCCGUGGGCCACAAACA